UACGGUCAUAUCAUGUUGAAAUACCUGUUCCUGUCUGAUCACCGAAGUUAAACAACGUCAAGCCUGGUCAGAUGGGUGACCCCUUUGGAAUACCAGGUGCUGUAA